rnacentral:misc_RNA from 1 species
ACAGCACGAAGGGGAGCCUAGGCUCCCCUCCAAGUUCAGUUGCAUGCUCUUUUUUGUUUUUAGGCGGCCUGUUGUUGUUUUUGGUGGCCAGACCUUUUUUGCUUUUUUGAGCGACCCCCAUACGGGGUCAAGAGCAAACGUAUUUUUUUGAGCGCUGAUACUGCUUCGAUCUUGCGAUUCAACCCGUUCGGUCGCUACCUGAAGGUAGUU